GAAAAAUUAAGAAAAAAUAAAAGAGGUAAAAUGUGACUAAGUUAAACGAGCCAAACCCUCAGCGAUGGGUGACCGCACUGGAAAGUUACGGCGAGAACCGUUGACUAGCCCUGGACCUAGGGAAACUUGAGGAAAUAUUUUUGGGACAUAAUUAAAGGUCUACUGAAGUGUAAUUGACAUUGGAAAUAUCAAAGAAAAAUUAGUAAGUCAGUAUAAACGAAAAA
rnacentral:misc_RNA from 1 species